rnacentral:rRNA from 1 species
AGUGAACGCUGGCGGCAUGCCUAACACAUGCAAGUCGAACGGCAACACGGUAAGGGGUUGUUCUUACUGGUGGCGGGGGGCGUACGGGUGAGGAAUGUAUCGCGAUCUUCUUUUUCGUGGAGGAUAACGUGGGGCAAUAUAUCCUAAUACCUGAUACUACCUACGGGGGAAAGCAAAGGAUCUUUUGGCCUUGCGCGUUUGGAUUGGCCGAUGUCGGAUUAGCUAGUUGGCGGGGUAAAGGCCCACCAAGGCGACGAUCCGUAGCUGGUCUGAGAGGAUGAUCAGCCACACUGGAACUGAGACACGGUCCAGACUCCUACGGGAGGCAGCAGUGGGGAAUAUUGGACAAUGGGCGCAAGCCUGAUCCAGCCAUACCGCGUGGGUGAAGAAGGCCUUCGGGUUGUAAAGCCCUUUUGUUGGGAAAGAAAAGCAGCAGGUUAAUACCCCGCUGUUCUGACGGUACCCAAAGAAUAAGCACCGGCUAACUUCGUG